rnacentral:rRNA from 1 species
CCUACGGGUGGCAGCAGUGGGGAAUAUUGCACAAUGGGGGAAACCCUGAUGCAGCGACGCCGCGUGAGUGAGGAAGUAUUUCGGUAUGUAAAGCUCUAUCAGCAGGGAAGAAAAUGACGGUACCUGACUAAGAAGCCCCGGCUAACUACGUGCCAGCAGCCGCGGUAAUACGUAGGGGGCAAGCGGUAUCCGGAUUUACUGGGGGUUAAGGGAGCGUAGACGGCUAAUCAAGUCAGAAGUGAAAACCCAGGGCUCAACCUUUGGACUGCUUUUGAAACUGAGUAGCUAUAGUGCAGGAGAGGUAAGCGGAAAUCCGAGUGUCGCGGGGAAAUGCGUAGAUAUUAGGAGGAAAACC